rnacentral:RNase_P_RNA from 1 species
UUUGGGCGAUCGAGCGCAACUUUAGUUGUGUUAGGAAGGUCCAUGCUCGCACGGGCUGCGAUGCCCGUAGUGUUUGUGCUCGCUGAAAAAAUAAGGCGGGGCACCGGGCAACCGGUGACGGCGGAAAAAACGGCUACGGCCUUGGCUAUGCCCGAGUAUUCCUGAAAAGUGCCACAGUGACGAAGGGGGUUGGGAAACCAACCUCGUGGAACGCGGUAAACCCCUCAAGCGGUAAACCCAAACUACGGUCGGGGAGCUUUGGAUAGCAAAUUGAAGCGAUUCCAGGGGAGCGGCAGUUGCCGCUGAGAUAGAUGAUUGCCACGGCGCGUGCUUGCCUGAGGCGCGCGCUUCGACAAAACAUGGCCUACAG